rnacentral:lncRNA from 1 species
AACAAGGGUCUGCUCUGCUGGUAAACAUUGCCCACGGAAGUGACGGGAGAAGGAGGCUUGGGAAAUUCAUGAGAUGUGAACCAGCUCCACCCCACAGGGCACUUUGUGAAUAACCACAGGGGAAAAUCUGCGUCAGGAGCAAGAAGGUGGAAAAUGUGGAUUUUCCUGGUUUGGACCCUUUUGCCAGCUGAUUCAUCCACCACCAAAGGCAGCGAUGUGAGCCCAGUGGCCACCACGGGCUUUGGGGAGCCUCCAGUGCUGUCCCAGCUCAACAUCAUCUACCUGCUGCUCAUCCCUGGCGUGAAGGUGGCUGUGGCGCUGCUCCUGGGGUGUGUGACUGCCUGGGUAAGGAGCCAACGCAGGAACCAUGGCCAGGAAAACCUGCAGCUCUCCGAGGUGGCUGGUACCAGGGCACUGGGCUGCCCACCAAUCCCAGAGCCACAGGGACACCCUCCUGCCCCUUUACCCCCCACCCUGCUGGGGCUGUGACACCCAUCACGGCCACCCUGCACCAGGAUGUGCUCGGCUCUGGGGGCUUCUCCCCCAGUGAAGCAUCAGCCUCUCCUGGCAGCCCCUGCACUGGAGAGGGGAAGGUUUGGGGCACAGAGAGCCUGUGUCUGCUGAGCUGGAGCUGCCAACUGGUGCCAGGUUUG